UACGUAGGGGGCUAGCGUUGUCCGGAAUCAUUGGGCGUAAAGAGCGUGUAGGCGGUCCGGUAAGUCCGUUGUGAAAGUCAGGGGCUCAACCCUUGAAUGCCGGCGGAUACUGUCGGGCUAGAGUCCGGAAGAGGCAAGUGGAAUUCCCGGUGUAGCGGUGAAAUGCGCAGAUAUCGGGAGGAACACCUAUGGCGAAGGCAGCUUGCUGGGACGGUACUGACGCUGAGACGCGAAAGCGUGGGGAGCAAACAGG
rnacentral:rRNA from 2 species